rnacentral:rRNA from 1 species
AACGAACGCUGGCGGCAUGCCUAACACAUGCAAGUCGAACGAGGUCUUCGGGUCUAGUGGCGCACGGGUGCGUAACGCGUGGGAAUCUGCCCUUUGGUUCGGAAUAACAGUUGGAAACGACUGCUAAUACCGGAUGAUGACUAAAGUCCAAAGAUUUAACGACAGAGGAUGAGCCCGCGUAGGAUUAGCUAGUUUGUGUGGUAAAGGCGCACCAAGGCGACGAUCCUUAGCUUGUCUGAGAGGGAGAUCGGCCACAAUGGGACUGAGACAAGGCCCCGACUACUACGGGGGGCAGCAGUGGGGAAUAUUGGACAAUGGGCGAAAGCCUGAUCCAGCAAUGCCGCGUGAGUGAUGAAGGCCUUAGGGUUGUAAAGCUCUUUUACCCGGGAUGAUAAUGACAGUACCGGGAGAAUAAGCUCCGGCUAACUCCGUGCCAGCAGCCGCCGUAA